ACCAUAUAGAUAAUGUUUGACAUUAUCCCUAAGACCUUGCCGCCAACUUAUUUUUUUCUCCUUAUAUGUGUAAUAUUUUGAGGAGAUUUUUUGUGAAAAAUUAGUUGGAGAACUGAUUUACCAUGAAAAAAUAUAGGAAGGGGUGUCUCAUAUUUUUUUGGCAUGAUUUGGCAUGAAUUUUUGAGUAGAGGCGACAAUACAUCAAGAGUCCCUGAUCUUUAAGACUCUUCACCCCACCUCCUUACACGUUGAAAUAAAAAGAGUUUUAUUACAUUCUUAUAUGUGAAAGAGAUCUAAGAAAGAGUUCUUCAUGUUGAGAGGGGCUUGGGGUGUGGUUUUAUGGCGUGAAAGAAGAGGAGAGUCCUCUUCUCUUAGGGUGUGUGCAAAAAUUAAGUUUCUAGAAUUUUGGUCCUCAGGGUUUGGAAAGAGAGAAAAAAUAAAGGAGAAAAUAGUUUUCUCUUCAUCUUUCUUUCACCUCUUCAUCUCCUUCAGAAGUUCAUCUUCAACCUCUGGAAAGAUUCUAGUGAUUUGAAGAAAGAAUCUAGAUCAGUUAAGAAGAAGGUCUUCGCACGAGCUAGCACUCCCG
rnacentral:lncRNA from 1 species